rnacentral:rRNA from 1 species
CCUACGGGAGGCUGCAGUGAGGAAUAUUGGUCAAUGGGCGGGAGCCUGAACCAGCCAAGCCGCGUGAGGGAAGAAGGUACAGCGUAUCGUAAACCUCUUUUGUCAGGGAACAAAGGCGGGGACUAGUCCCCGGAUGAGGGUACCUGAAGAAAAAGCAUCGGCUAACUCCGUGCCAGCAGCAGCGGUAAUACGGAGGAUGCGAGCUUUAUCCGGAUUUAUUGGGUUUAAAGGGUGCGCAGGCGGCCUGUUAAGUCAGCGGGAAAAGCCCGGGGCUCAACCCCGGCGAGCCGUUGAAACUGGCGGGCUGGAGUUGGAGAGAAGUACGCGGAAUGCGCGGUGUAGCGGUGAAAUGCUUAGAUAUCGCGCAGAACCCCGAUUGCGAAGGCAGCGUACCGGCUCCACACUGACGCUGAGGCACGAAAGCGUGGGUAUCGAACAGGAUUAGAUACCCCGGUAGUC